rnacentral:rRNA from 1 species
GAUGAACGCUGGCGGCGUGCCUAAUACAUGCAAGUCGAGCGAACGGACGAGAAGCUUGCUUCUCUGAUGUUAGCGGCGGACGGGUGAGUAACACGUGGAUAACCUACCUAUAAGACUGGGAUAACUUCGGGAAACCGGAGCUAAUACCGGAUAAUAUUUUGAACCGCAUGGUUCAAAAGUGAAAGACGGUCUUGCUGUCACUUAUAGAUGGAUCCGCGCUGCAUUAGCUAGUUGGUAAGGUAACGGCUUACCAAGGCAACGAUGCAUAGCCGACCUGAGAGGGUGAUCGGCCACACUGGAACUGAGACACGGUCCAGACUCCUACGGGAGGCAGCAGUAGGGAAUCUUCCGCAAUGGGCGAAAGCCUGACGGAGCAACGCCGCGUGAGUGAUGAAGGUCUUCGGAUCGUAAAACUCUGUUAUUAGGGAAGAACAUAUGUGUAAGUAACUGUGCACAUCUUGACGGUACCUAAUCAGAAAGCCACGGCUAACUACGUGCCAGCAGCCGCGGUAAUACGUAGGUGGCAAGCGUUAUCCGGAAUUAUUGGGCGUAAAGCGCGCGUAGGCGGUUUUUUAAGUCUGAUGUGAAAGCCCACGGCUCAACCGUGGAGGGUCAUUGGAAACUGGAAAACUUGAGUGCAGAAGAGGAAAGUGGAAUUCCAUGUGUAGCGGUGAAAUGCGCAGAGAUAUGGAGGAACACCAGUGGCGAAGGCGACUUUCUGGUCUGUAACUGACGCUGAUGUGCGAAAGCGUGGGGAUCAAACAGGAUUAGAUACCCUGGUAGUCCACGCCGUAAACGAUGAGUGCUAAGUGUUAGGGGGUUUCCGCCCCUUAGUGCUGCAGCUAACGCAUUAAGCACUCCGCCUGGGGAGUACGACCGCAAGGUUGGAACUCAAAGGAAUUGACGGGGACCCGCACAAGCGGUGGAGCAUGUGGUUUAAUUCGAAGCAACGCGAAGAACCUUACCGAAUCUUGACAUCCUUUGACAACUCUAGAGAUAGAGCCUUCCCCUUCGGGGGACAAAGUGACAGGUGGUGCAUGGUUGUCGUCAGCUCGUGUCGUGAGAUGUUGGGUUAAGUCCCGCAACGAGCGCAACCCUUAAGCUUAGUUGCCAUCAUUAAGUUGGGCACUCUAAGUUGACUGCCGGUGACAAACCGGAGGAAGGUGGGGAUGACGUCAAAUCAUCAUGCCCCUUAUGAUUUGGGCUACACACGUGCUACAAUGGACAAUACAAAGGGCAGCGAAACCGCGAGGUCAAGCAAAUCCCAUAAAGUUGUUCUCAGUUCGGAUUGUAGUCUGCAACUCGACUACAUGAAGCUGGAAUCGCUAGUAAUCGUAGAUCAGCAUGCUACGGUGAAUACGUUCCCGGGUCU